rnacentral:lncRNA from 1 species
UCUUUGUUUUCUUUUAAAUUUAUUUGUUUUAAUUUUAAAUGGUGAUGGCCUCAUCGCAGGAUCUGGGACAUUGAGAGCUAGCUCGGGGUGAUCAUAUACAUGAACCCCCAUCAUAUCCCUAGGAUCAUAACCACUAGAUCAUAAUCAAGUGGAUCAAAUGAAUGGCAUCUUGCUGCAUCUUCAGUUUAGAUCAGGAUUGUCUGAUCUUCACCAGACGGUCACGAGAGUCCAAUGCAUUUUUACCUCUUUUUAUUUAUAUUUUUUAUUUCUUUGAUCAAAC